UACGGAAGGUGCAAGCGUUGUUCGGAGUGACUGGGCGUAAAGCGUGCGCAGGCGGUUUUGUAAGUCUGUCGUGAAAUCCCCGGGCUCAACCUGGGAAUUGCGAUGGAGACUGCAAGGCUGGAGUCUGGCAGAGGGGGGUAGAAUUCCACGUGUAGCAGUGAAAUGCGUAGAGAUGUGGAGGAACACCGAUGGCGAAGGCAGCCCCCUGGGUCAAGACUGACGCUCAUGCACGAAAGCGUGGGGAGCAAACAGG
rnacentral:rRNA from 1 species